rnacentral:snRNA from 1 species
GUGCUUGCUUCGGCAGCACAUCUACUAAAAUUGGAACAAUACAAAGAUUAGUAUGGCCGACAGACAAAUUCGUGAAACAUUCCAUAUUUUU